rnacentral:rRNA from 1 species
AAUCCAUAGGUUAAUGAGGCGAACCGGGGGAACUGAAACAUCUAAGUACCCCGAGGAAAAGAAAUCAACCGAGAUUCCCCCAGUAGCGGCGAGCGAACGGGGAGGAGCCCAGAGCCUGAAUCAGCAUGUGUGUUAGUGGAAGCGUCUGGAAAGGCGCGCGAUACAGGGUGACAGCCCCGUACACAAAAGCGCAUGUGCUGUGAGCUCGAUGAGUAGGGCGGGACACGUGGUAUCCUGUCUGAAUAUGGGGGGACCAUCCUCCAAGGCUAAAUACUCCUGACUGACCGAUAGUGAACCAGUACCGUGAGGGAAAGGCGAAAAGAACCCCGGCGAGGGGAGUGAAAAAGAACCUGAAACCGUGUACGUACAAGCAGUGGGAGCCCCACCACUAAGCCAGUGGUGAACUCCACAUACGCAUCCUUUGCUGAGGAUGCGGUUAACGGAGCGAAAGCGACGUUCAACCGCAAAAGAAGCAGAGGGGGCUUAGUGGUGGGGUGACUGCGUACCUUUUGUAUAAUGGGUCAGCGACUUAUAUUCUGUAGCAAGGUUAACCGAAUAGGGGAGCCGGAGGGAAACCGAGUCUUAACCGGGCGUUAAGUUGCAGGGUAUAGACCCGAAACCCGGUGAUCUAGCCAUGGGCAGGUUGAAGGUUGGGUAACACUAACUGGAGGACCGAACCGACUAAUGUUGAAAAAUUAGCGGAUGACCUGUGGCUGGGGGUGAAAGGCCAAUCAAACCGGGAGAUAGCUGGUUCUCCCCGAAAGCUAUUUAGGUAGCGCC